UAUCAUGAUUUCUUUUAUUCACCAUGAUUUCUUGACUAAUGCUGUGAUUAUCGGGUGGCACGAAGUCAUAUUUCACAUUUCUAUAUAGUUUUUGAGUUAUGCAUACAAGUUGCUCGAUGAAAUGCCGGACUAAUUUUUUAUUCACACUUGGAUUAACUGAUAUUGAAUUUUGGUAGGUUUUGAUGAUUGUUUAUUUACAUCAAGAUUUCUAAUUUUGUUGUUUUUGUAUCAGCUUUGUUCUUUGUAGUUUAGUUGCUAAUUUUUGUGCAUAUAAGAAGACUACAGGAACAUGGAACAUAGAAGUCAUGCCUUUUUGUGACUUUCAGAAAGUCAAAGCUGGUAUUCUCAUACCUCAGUUUGAUGCACAUAGAGUAAUUUUGUAAUCUUCAAAUUAUUUGGAUUCUUAAUUUUAUUAUAGUGGUUCGUAACUUAUUAUCAAAGGAAUAAUAAUUUUUCUUAUAUAAUAUAUGCCAAAUGAUGAACACCAUAAAAAAAGAUUAUUUAUAGAAAGUAUUUGGGUUAGCUUAAUUAAGAGGGGCUUACAAUAUGUUUAGCUUGCCCUUUUUCUCAAGCAUAUUUUUGUCAACACACCAUUUAAUAGGCUAAGCCAAACACUCACUAGACGGGUGACAUGUUCUUUUGUUGAUACAUUUUGUGUGGACGCGACUCGGCUCGGUUCGACUCGACUCGGUACGACUUGGUUUUGACACGGUUAGGUCCGGCUCAAGCCCGAUGUC
rnacentral:lncRNA from 1 species